CCUAACACAUGACAAGUCGAGCGAGAAAGUCUCUUCGGAGAUAAGUACAGCGGCGGACGGGUGAGUAACGCGUGAGAAUUUACCCUUUAGUGAAGAAUACCUCUGAGAAAUCAGGGUUAAUACUGCAUACGUCCCUACGGGGAGAAAGGUGGCCUCUUUGCUGCCGCUAAAGGAUAAGCUUGCGUACUAUUAGCUAGUUGGUGAGGUAAAGGCUCACCAAGGCGAUGAUGGUUAGCCGGCCUGAGAGGGUGUACGGCCACACUGGAACUUAGACACGGUCCAGACUCCUACGGGAGGCAGCAGUGAGGAAUAUUGCGCAAUGGGCGAAAGCCUGACGCAGCGACGCCGCGUGGAGGAUGAAGGUCUUCGGAUUGUAAACUCCUGUUAAGUGGGAAGAAAGACCUAUUUCUAAUACAGAUAGGGGAUGACGGUACCAUUAGAGAAAGCACCGGCUAACUUCGUG
rnacentral:rRNA from 1 species